AUAAGUAACGAUAAUGGGGGCGAGAACCCCCCACGCCGCAAGACCAAGGAUUCCCCGGCAAUGUCAAUCAGCCGGGGGUCAGCCGGCCUCUAAGGCUAACCCGAAGGGGGAUGCCGACGAGAAACGGGUUAACAUUCCCGUGCUUCUCGUCACCGUGACGCGGUGACGGGGUGAUGAAUGGACCGCGCGCUGACGGAAUAGCGCGUUGAAGACCGUACCCUUUGACGGUGGUAGUCAAGCACGCCACCGGAGGCGAAAGUCGAUAGUACCUCGAGGCCUCGGCCGAGGGGAUAGCGUCCAGGCAAUUAACCCCCUAGAAAACCCGCUAAACUUCAAGUGACGAGGAACCGUACCGUAAACGGACACACGUGGUCGGGUAGAACAUACCAAGGCGCUCGAGUGAUUCAUGGUCAAGGAACUAGGCAAAAUAGUCCUGUAACUUCGGGAUAAAGGACGCUCUAGUGAUAGAGCCGCAGAGAAAUGGCCCAGGCGACUGUUUACCAAAAACACAUGGCUAUGCCAAAUCGAAAGAUGACGUAUAUGGCCUGACACCUGCCCGGUGCCGGAAGGUUAAGAGGAGAGCUCAUCGGAAACGAGAAGGUUUGAAUUGAAGCCCCGGUAAACGGCGGCCGUAACUAUAACGGUCCUAAGGUAGCGAAAUUCCUUGUCGGGUAAGUUCCGACCUGCACGAAUGGUGUAACGAUCUGGGCACUGUCUCGACCAUGAGCUCGGUGAAAUUGUAGUUCCGGUGAAGAUGCCGGGUACCCGCGACGGGACGGAAAGACCCCGUGAACCUUUACUGCAGCUUCGCGUUGUUCCCGGGCACGGGACGUGUAGGAUAGGUCGGAGGCUACGAUUCGGUUUCGCCAGUAAUCGAGGAGCCAUCGUUGAAAUACGACCCUUCUCUUGUCUGGGAUCUAACCCUAGGUACAGGGGACACCGCGUGGCGGGUAGUUUGACUGGGGUGGUCGCCUCCAAAAGCGUAACGGAGGCUUCCAAAGGUACCCUCGGGUUGGUUGGUAAUCAACCUCAGAGUGCAAUGGCACAAGGGUGCUUGACCGGGAGACCAACGAGUCGAUCGGGUGCGAAAGCAGGGCAUAGUGAUCCGGUGAUCCCGCGUGGAAGGGUCAUCGCUCAAAGGAUAAAAGGUACUCCGGGGAUAACAGGCU
rnacentral:rRNA from 1 species